AACUUACUUGUAGAUGCAUAUUAUGCUCAAGUCAUGUACAGUCAUUUUAUCUUAAUCCAGCUGCUGAUCAGACACGCAUGAUGCAAGAUCAGAUGCAAAUGCAGAUGCCACCAGACCCAAGCAAGGCCUUCAAGGCUGAAUGGGAAGCACUAGAGAUAGUUGAACAUGAGUGGGCUYUAGAAAAUGUUGAAGAAGAACUUAUUGAAGAAUACUCUCCAUCCGAUGUGUUUGAAGUAGCCAAAGAUAAAUAUGUGUAAAAWAAUUUGAGAAAUAAAAUCUGCACCAAAGA